rnacentral:misc_RNA from 1 species
GAUGAAGAACGUAGCGAAAUGCGAUAAGUAAUGUGAAUUGCAGAAUUCAGUGAAUCAUCGAAUCUUUGAACGCACAUUGCGCCCCCUGGUAUUCCGGGGGGCAUGCCUGUUCGAGCGUCAUUUCACCACUCAAGCCUCGCUUGGUAUUGGGCAACGCGGUCCGCCGCGUGCCUCAAAUCGACCGGCUGGGUCUUCUGUCCCCUAAGCGUUGUGGAAACUAUUCGCUAAAGGGUGUUCGGGAGGCUACGCCGUAAAACAACCCCGUUUCUAAGGUUGACCUCGGAUCAGGUAGGGAUACCCGCUGAAUUUAAGCAUAUCAAUAAGCGGAGGA